GGGUUUCUAUUGCUGUGAUAAAACACCAUGACCAAAAGCAGGUUGGAGAAGAAAGAGUUUACUUUAUUUCUACAAGUCUCAGGUAUACUCCAUCAUUGAGGGAAGUCAGAGCAGAAACUUGAGGCAGGAGCUAAGACUGUCUUCUGCCGCAAACCCUCUGGGUCUCUUUGUCUGCGUGGAAUGGGUCUCUGGUCGCAGGUGGGCAAAGAGUCGGCGAAUGACAGACAGACCAACACUCGAGAUUGUGUUGAAUCUGAAUGUAUGUCACAAAGUGAACACCGGUCUUAUAUAGUACAGAAAAUACAAGGGGUCGGGAGUCACAGCAGGCAAAGUACAUUGAAGUUACCUGAUACAAAACAAAGGAGUGACUACAAAGGGACUUACAGGAACCAGGUAAUAUUUACAGUAAAGAUAAAACAGUCCUGCCUAGGGUCAGCUUAAUGACAGGUAAGGAUUUCACACCCUAGUGCUAUUCCUUUGAGCCUUGUGAAGGCUAGCACCAGGGGGUUCUGCUCUUAGCAGACCUUCUCAUGAAUAAUGCAAUACCACAACCCCCCUAUUUUCUAGGCCUUGCUAAAUUCUUAUAUGAGUCUAACUUUUAAGUAUAUGGAGAAUCUCCAUUUGUCAGAAGAAUUCACCAACUUGCUUCUAAUAUGCAAUGUAGCCUGUACUGAAGAUUUCUAUCUCAGUGGGAUUCCCUGGCUCUUUCAUGGUAAACACUCUGCAGACCAGCUUUGAGCUGCUUUGGCUUAAUUAGUUACUGAAUAGGUAACUUCCUUACUGCAUUCUUACAGGAUUCUAAGCUUGUCGGCUUCUGGAACCUUGGAACACUGGCAAAGGCUCUGGCUAUGUCAGAAUUCAAUCUUAAAAGGCACUUAUAAUAAGAUAAUACUAAAAGAGAGCACGUGGAUCCAUACACUAGACUAACGCGGGGAUAGAAUGUGAGUAUACAGGUUAAUGAAAACGCCAAAGCUCCAGGAGGUGAGUUCCUUUUGAAACUCUUUGCCUCGUGAGUGCUUCCAGGCUUCUCAGCCUGUCAAGCAGACUUCACUGGAGUGUGCGUGGCAACCGUCCAUGAAGGAAUGUUGCUUACUGGCCUGCUCUUCAUGGUUUGCUUAGCCUGCUGCCUUGUACAACCAAGGAUCAGCUGUCUGCCCAGAAGUAGAACCACCCACAAUGGGCUGUGCCCUUCCUUCAAGAAAACACCUGAUUGACACACCUACAGGCAAUGUGGGUAGAGGCCUUUUCUCAAUUGAGGUUCUUCUUCCCACAUACCUCUAGCAUAUCAAGUUGGCCAAAAAUCAGCAACAAGCAGGGCAUUUAUAUAGUUAGCUCUUACUGGCUUCCCAUCCUGUCCCCUCUGGUACCACCUGCAUUGGGAACAGCACCCAAUCAUGCUGAGAGAAUGUAGAAGAUCUGGCUCCUUACCCAUUAGCACCUGGAGGAGAAGUUGCAGGAGGCUCAUUUCUGCCAAGUGCCUAUAAGAAUCCUGCCUCCCCACUGGGUCUUCCCUAGUUCCAUGGACUGAGAUGGAGGAAGAGAAUUUUGGGGGCAGCUGGGUAAGAAGAUAGGCGUAGGCUCUUCACUCAGUUUUACUGAUGGGAGUAGUGAGUGGUAGGUUCCUGCCAUGACACUUAGCUCUAGUAGAGUGAUUCCAACUAAGCUGUUCUGCAAGGUGAUCUUUUUCCUUGUCCUGCAGCUAGGAAGAACUGGCUUUUCUUAGGGUUGUUUGUCUGCAUGGGUUAGCAUUCUUGCACCUCCUGCUUCCUCGCACCCUGUUUAAAUUUUAUGAAGCAAAAAAGGUGCAGAGGUGGAGACUACCAUCUUCCUUCUGUCAAACUCAUCUUUUCUCUAGCACCAUUUUACAUGAAAUAACCAGGAGAUGUGGGAAGAUGUCUAGCUACGCCCUUGUGUCAUAGAGCCUGAAGUCCAGUCUGAUUCCCAUGAUUUAACCAUCCCUUUUCUUUCUUUUCUUUGCCUCCCACCCACAACCCCGUGCAACAUUUUUGUCCUCUCUGCUGUGGCAUCACAAAGUGGCCAAUCCUGGAGCGCUACCCUCAGGUUCGGACCAUCAAGAGUGGGUAAAAGAAACUGGGCGUGGUGGCGCAUGCCUUUAAUCCCAGCACUCGGGGAGGCGGAGGCGGAGGCGGAGGCGGAGGCGGAGGCGGAGGCGGAGGCGGAGGCGGAGGCGGAGGCGGAGGCGGAGGCGGGCAGAUUUCUGAGUUCCAGGUCAGCCUGGUCUACAAAGUGAGUUCCAGGACAGCCAGGGCUACACAGAAAAACCCUGACUCGAAAAACAAAACAAAACAAAAGAUUGGGUAAAAGAUUCUAACCUAGUUCUCCAUCAUGAAGCCUUCAUCAGCUUACAGGGGAUGUUUGAAUCUGACACUUUUACCCCUUGCAAUCGAAUGCGGGGUGAGGGUAACAGAAAAAACGCCUGUCACUUCUGCAUUUUUCAAAUGUCCUCUUCGAAGGAAGAGCAACACAGGCACUCUUAAGCCUGUAAAUCUCUUCUUCUGGCACGGGGUUCCAAUGGCAAUCGGGAGUGCCACUUAAAGGGGAGCAGUUUGUGCAUUGCACAAAGGCAUCCAGCCAAUGGGACAAAAGGGGCCUAAGAUUCAGCUUGGCCUCUGCUUGCCAAGUCAUGUACCCGCAGGACUGCAUCACCCGGAGGGGGUGCCUCUUUCAAAUGUGCACAAAGCCUCCCUAGAAGGGAUCAGCUGGCUCCUGAUCCUAACAAUAGCAGCAUUGCAGUGACUCAAUGGAAACAUUCUCUUGGAUUCCAUAAACUCACUAUGCUUGAAUAUUCAAUUGAUACUCAUACAUAAUUUAUGCCAUCGUGUCAAAAUCAUUUGUUUUUGGAGUCCUCAAGCCUAGGAAAGUGAGCCCCAAAGCAUCAGAGGAAGAACACAUUGCACACUGUAGCCACAAUCAAAAUGGCUUUUUAAAGGGAUUUCUUAUUCUCCUGGGAUGACACCUUCCCAUCUAUGAAGCCUGUUGGAUUAUCAGCAACCGGGUAGAUGCCAAGAGCUUUCUGAUUCAUUUCAGUUUUCUCCUCAGUGGCAUCCUCUUUACUCUACUGACCUGUUACAAUUCAGUAAGUCCUUACAGGGCAAGUGAAAAAUCUCUUUCAUGUGGGGAAGUCUGUCAGCAUCACUGAGGAAGUAUGGGUACUUCAGCUUCAAACACUAGUUAAAUAUUUGUGUGACGACAUCAAACUCACCGCAUAAUAGGCUGCCAUUCGAUCCUCAAAAAGCAAAAAACAAAACAAAACAAAACAAAACAAAAAAAUGGGGGCUGAGGUGUCACCUAGCAGCAGAAUACAUGUUUAGCCUUGACAAGAUUUUAUACCCAGCACCUGGAUAAGAGGGCCAAGUUCUGGUCCACACACUGCUAUAGGCCACAAGACCUUGACUUUGAAAGACACUUUCCCAGGGGCUUUGUUUUGAUGUCUGAAAACAAAGAAACUAAAUAAAGUGUAGCAUUAAUUAAUUAAAUGCUUAGAAUCUCGAGUCUCCGUGUCAAAUAGUUUUUGGAUUAGACUUUGGCAGUUUCAGAUCUUCAGGCCCAGCAGUUUCUAACUUAUAAAUGAAGAAAGCAGUGUUCAAAUUAAGUAAUUUAUCUACAAUCUCAAGGCCAACCUAUAGGUUAUCUCAUCCUUUUCCCAGAUCUAUUUAAUAGGAAAGCCCAUGGUUCUCCAGUGAAACCCCUCUCUCUUCUCAGAAAGCCUAUGGAGAAAAAGCCUCCCUUAUUGCAAAGAUGAACACAUGACUACCUCAACCGGAACAUGAAAUGCAGGUACCAGAACUGAGGUUUGGCUCAGUGGCAGCCAGUGCUGCUGAGACUCCAGGUACGGUCUGUAGAACUGGGAAAGAGAACAAGGGGAAACCAUGUGUUCCUUAGAGCCCAGUGUCUUAAGCUGUGGGCCAUGACUCCAUAUGGGGUUGUGUAACUGAAUGCAGAGCUUGCAAAAACUUUGGCAAUGGUGAAGGACUUUGCAUUGUGCAACUAAAACUGAAGCCAAAAACAGAUAUGUAAUGAAUUUGGGAUAUGUCUGGCAAUGCUUGCCCAGGUUAUGUCACAUGAUCUUGCUGGAGCCUUUAUCUGAGCAUACACAUGUGUUUUGCAUUGUACAUGUUAGAUUUGAGAUGAUUAUAUAUUAUGAAUAGCAGCAUUUCUACUGUACUUACAGUUGCCCCCUCUUAUAGAAACAUAACGGCUUAAUUAUACAAAAUAAAAGUACUUGAUGAAGGAUGGACCAUGUAGAGACUGCCAUAUCCAGGGAUCCACCCCAUAAUCAGCAUCCAAACGCUGACACCAUUGCAUACAC
rnacentral:lncRNA from 1 species